CCUACGGGGGGCAGCAGUGAGGAAUAUUGGUCAAUGGGCGCGAGCCUGAACCAGCCAAGUAGCGUGAGGGAAGACGGUCCUAUGGAUUGUAAACCUCUUUUGUCGGGGAGCAAAAGACGCCACGCGUGGCGUUCCGAGAGUACCCGAAGAAAAAGCAUCGGCUAACUCCGUGCCAGCAGCCGCGGUAAUACGGAGGAUGCGAGCGUUAUCCGGAUUUAUUGGGUUUAAAGGGUGCGCAGGCGGAAGAUCAAGUCAGCGGUAAAAUUGAGAGGCUCAACCUCUUCGAGCCGUUGAAACUGGUGUUCUUGAGUGAGUGAGAAGUAUGCGGAAUGCGUGGUGUAGCGGUGAAAUGCAUAGAUAUCACGCAGAACUCCGAUUGCGAAGGCAGCAUACCGGCGCGCAACUGACGCUGAUGCACGAAAGUGUGGGUAUCGAACAGGAUUAGAUACCCUGGUAGUC
rnacentral:rRNA from 1 species